GGAGGGUUUCCCGAGCGGUCAAAGGGGGCAGACUGUAAAUCUGCUGGCUUCGCCUUCAGAAGUUCGAAUCUUCUACCCUCCACCA
rnacentral:tRNA from 1 species